rnacentral:rRNA from 1 species
GACGAAGGUGGCAAGCGUUGUUCGGAAUUACUGGGCAUAAAGCGCAUGUAGGCGGCGAUGUAAGCGGGGGAUGAAAUCCCAUGGCUCACCCAUGGAACAGUCCUCUGAACUGCAUUGCUUGAGGUCGGUAGGGGAGAGUGGAAUUCCUGGUGUAGCGGUGAAAUGCGUAGAUAUCAGGAGGAACGCCGGUGGCGAAAGCGACUCUCUGGUCCGAUCCUGACGCUGAGGUGCGAAAGCUAGGGGAGCAAACAGG